ACCCGCUGAACUUAAGCAUAUCAAUAAGCGGAGGAAAAGAAACCAACAGGGAUUGCCCUAGUAACGGCGAGUGAAGCGGCAACAGCUCAAAUUUGAAAUCUGGCGUCUUUGGCGUCCGAGUUGUAAUUUGCAGAGGGCGCUUUGGCAUUGGCAGCGGUCCAAGUUCCUUGGAACAGGACGUCACAGAGGGUGAGAAUCCCGUACGUGGUCGCUAGCCUUUACCGUGUAAAGCCCCUUCGACGAGUCGAGUUGUUUGGGAAUGCAGCUCUAAAUGGGAGGUAAAUUUCUUCUAAAGCUAAAUACUGGCCAGAGACCGAUAGCGCACAAGUAGAGUGAUCGAAAGAUGAAAAGCACUUUGGAAAGAGAGUUAAAAAGCACGUGAAAUUGUUGAAAGGGAAGCGCUUGCAGCCAGACUUGCCUGUAGUUGCUCAUCCGGGUUUUUACCCGGUGCACUCUUCUAUAGGCAGGCCAGCAUCAGUUUGGGCGGUUGGAUAAAGGUCUCUGUCAUGUACCUCUCUUCGGGGAGAACUUAUAGGGGAGACGACAUGCAACCAGCCCCGACUGAGGUCCGCGCAUCUGCUAGGAUGCUGGCGUAAUGGCC
rnacentral:rRNA from 1 species